CCGAUUGUUACACUAACCAAUCAAAUAAAAGUUAAACCAUUAAUUGUCUUUUGCUUUUAUAAAGAACUUAGACUUUUCUUUUCUCAGAGAAUCUUGUAAUAGAAUCUUAAUUACUGUAGAAAUUAGAAAACGAGACAAGAAGAAACUGAUAAAAGUAACGAUAAGAAGAAGAAAAUAUAAUAUCCAGUCCACACCAAAAAUUGCUGAUCAUUUUCUUUCCGUCUUUUAAUUCUUUCAAUUUUCAUAAAUGAUUACGUCAGCAAUAAUAGAGUGGACGGAAAAAUGGUCAACUCUUUUUGGCCCAAUAAAUUAAGACGGAAGGUGGAUGCGUGCAUGUGGUGAGAGCCAUGGGGUGAGAUUAAUAACAAUAGUAGUAUUCUUAUUUGUUUUACUGUCCACGCGGACAAUAAUUAUAUUUGAACAAUGAUCCUAAACUAAUUAUCUUUUUAACGUCCAAACAAAAAUAUUUUGGUUUUGGAGACAUUGUGAAUCACUGAUGACAAAACCUCAAGAAAAUAAUUAUAAUUAGUUGGUAAAAUGUCGACUCAAAAGAUAUUUAGCUCUGGAGAAUGCCAAAAAAAAAUAUCAAGCCGAUUUUCGAAGGAUUCUUGAUAUUCUAUACAACUUGUGUUAAACUGUGUAAAGGGAAGGCAUCCCAACGCCUAACAUAUAAUCAGUUUAGUUGAGAUUUUAAACGAUUUUUGAUAAACUUAAAAACUUUUUUCUUUUCGAGUGACAAAAGCUCUAACCUCACCAAGGGGAUCGAUGGCCAUGCAGUGACGCCGAGCCAAAUCCUUGAUUUAGCCUAUCAUGUUCGGCUUGUCCAACUUGCAUUAUGAUUCAGUAUGGGCUGUGAAACGUCACCGUAAUCGGUAGCUAUACAUAUGUGCGAAGAAUAAUGGUCUCUUUGCUCAAACAUGCUAUAAAACUUUACCCAUUACAAAAAGUUCUUCCUAACGUUCAACUUUAGGAAUUCAUUGUACCAAAAAAACUUUAGGAAUUCAAAUGAAAUAAGAAAAAAAGAAAUUUGAAAUUCA
rnacentral:lncRNA from 1 species